GACAGAGGGUGCGAACGUUGCUCGGAAUCAUUGGGCGUAAAGCGCGUGUAGGCGGCAUGGCACGUCGGGUGUGAAAGCCCGGGGCUCAACCCCGGCAGUGCACCCGAAACGACGAUGCUUGAGUGCUGGAGAGGCGGGUGGAAUUCCCGGUGUAGAGGUGAAAUUCGUAGAUAUCGGGAGGAACACCGGUGGCGAAGGCGACCCGCUGGCCAGCGACUGACGCUGAGACGCGAAAGCGUGGGGAGCAAACAGGG
rnacentral:rRNA from 1 species